rnacentral:rRNA from 1 species
CCAAUAGCGUAUAUUAAAGUUGUUGCAGUUAAAAAGCUCGUAGUUGAAUUUCGGGGUUAGUAGGUUGGUCAUGCCUCUGGUAUGUACUGGUCUCACUGAUUCCUCCUUCCUGAUGAACCGUAAUGCCAUUAAUUUGGUGUUGCGGGGAAUUUGGACUGUUACUUUGAAAAAAUUAGAGUGUUUAAAGCAGGCUAACGCUUGAAUACAUUAGCAUGGAAUAAUGAAAUAGGACGUUCGAUCCUAUUUUGUUGGUUUCUAGGAUUGACGUAGUGAUUAAUAGGGAUAGUUGGGGGCAUUAGUAUUCAAUUGUCAGAGGUGAAAUUCUUGGAUUUAUUGAAGACUAACUACUGCGAAGGCAUUUGCCAAGGAUGUUUUCAUUAAUCAAGAACGAAAGUUAGGGGAUCGAAGACGAUCAGAUACCGUCGUAGUCUUAACCAUAAACUAUGCCGACUAGGGAUCGGAUGAUGUUAAUUUUUUAAUGACUCAUUCGGCGCCUUACG